rnacentral:lncRNA from 1 species
UUCAUUUGCAUCACCCUGGGAAACUGGAAAGGCCACAGGAAUAGGCAUCAGUGAUACACCAGACGUGACAGCUGAAACACAGCCUUCACACUUACAAAUUCCAGGAGGGACUAGCUCUCCUUUCAGAGGCAAGAAGCCAUGUUGAAUUGGAAGAUGCAUCAGUGAGCCUGGAGAGAGGAUUUUUUUCCCAGGAAGCCAUCCCGUCAGAGGGGUUCAAGUGAUGAAAGUUGGCAAACUGCAGCUACAUCAAGGCAUGUUUCCCCAAGCAAUGAAGAAUCUGAGACUGGCUUUUGAUAUUAUGAGAGUGACACAUGGCAGAGAACACAGCCUGAUUGAAGAUUUGAUUCUACUUUUAGAAGAAUGCGACGCCAACAUCAGAGCAUCCUAAGGGAACGCAGUCAGAGGGAAAUACGGCGUGUGUCUUUGUUGAAUGCCUUAUUGAGGUCACACACUCUAUGCUUUGUUAGCUGUGUGAACCUCUCCUAUUGGAAAUUCUGUUCCGUGUUUGUGUAGGUAAAUAAAGGCAGACAUGGUUUGCAAACCACAAGAAUCAUUAGUUGUAGAGAAGCACGAUUAUAAUAAAUUCAAAACAUUUGGUUG